UACGGGGGGGGCAAGCGUUGUUCGGAAUUACUGGGCGUAAAGGGCUCGUAGGCGGCCAACUAAGUCGGACGUGAAAUCCCUCGGCUUAACCGGGGAACUGCGUCCGAUACUGGAUGGCUUGAGUUCGGGAGAGGGAUGCGGAAUUCCAGGUGUAGCGGUGAAAUGCGUAGAUAUCGGGAAGAACACCCGUGGCUAAGGCGGCUCUCUAGUACGGUACUGACGCUGAGACGCGAAAGCGUGGGGAGCGAACAGG
rnacentral:rRNA from 1 species